rnacentral:rRNA from 1 species
AGCGCGGGGCAACCUGGCGGCGAGUGGCGAACGGGUGAGUUAAUAUAUCGGAACGUACCCUGGAGUGGGGGAUAACGUAGCGAAAGUUACGCUAAUACCGCAUACGAUCUAAGGAUGAAAGUGGGGGAUCGCAAGACCUCAUGCUCCUGGAGCGGCCGAUAUCUGAUUAGCUAGUUGGUGGGGUAAAGGCCUACCAAGGCAUCGAUCAGUAGCUGGUCUGAGAGGACGACCAGCCACACUGGAACUGAGACACGGUCCAGACUCCUACGGGAGGCAGCAGUGGGGAAUUUUGGACAAUGGGCGCAAGCCUGAUCCAGCAAUGCCGCGUGAGUGAAGAAGGCCUUCGGGUUGUAAAGCUCUUUUGUCAGGGAAGAAACGGUGAGGGCUAAUAUCCCUUGCUAAUGACGGUACCUGAAGAAUAAGCACCGGCUAACUACGUGCCAGCAGCCGCGGUAAUACGUAGGGUGCAAGCGUUAAUCGGAAUUACUGGGCGUAAAGCGUGCGCAGGCGGUUUUGUAAGUCUGUCGUGAAAUCCCCGGGCUCAACCUGGGAAUUGCGAUGGAGACUGCAAGGCUAGAAUCUGGCAGAGGGGGGUAGAAUUCCACGUGUAGCAGUGAAAUGCGUAGAGAUGUGGAGGAACACCGAUGGCGAAGGCAGCCCCCUGGGUCAAGAUUGACGCUCAUGCACGAAAGCGUGGGGAGCAAACAGGAUUAGAUACCCUGGUAGUCCACGCCCUAAACGAUGUCUACUAGUUGUCGGGUCUUAAUUGACUUGGUAACGCAGCUAACGCGUGAAGUAGACCGCCUGGGGAGUACGGUCGCAAGAUUAAAACUCAAAGGAAUUGACGGGGACCCGCACAGCGGUGGAUGAUGUGGAUUAAUUCGAUGCAACGCGAAAA